rnacentral:lncRNA from 1 species
UUGGGUUUAAUAUAGUUUUAUCCUGUAAAAUUAUCAAAUUUUGUAUUUAAUUCCUAUAAAAAAAAAUGGAAUAUUGAAUCAUUAAGAGAACUGAGUUAAAUUAUAGCAAAUUAGAGUUAAAUUAUUGAAUUAUUAGGAAGUUGUUUCUUUAAGUAUUUAAUUAUUUUAAAUUAAAAUAAAAUUACCACCCACUACCUAAAAUUAAGGAUGUGUGAUUGUUGUUUUUAGCAAUGAUCUCGUUACAAUAUUGCUGCUAAUGUAUUAUACUUCCCAACAACACUUAAAUUGUUGCAAAAAAGUCGCAGCAAAAACUAUCAAUUCUUG